AUCUGUGAUGCCCUUAGAUGUUCUGGGCUGCACGCGCGCUACACUGAUGCAUGCAACGAGUUUUUACCUUGGCCGACAGGUCUGGGUAAUCUUUUGAGUGUGCAUCGUGAUGGGGAUAGAUUAUUGCAAUUAUUAAUCUUCAAGAANGAAUGCCUAGUAGGCAAGUCAGCCAGGCGCAGA
rnacentral:rRNA from 1 species